AUUUAGUCCAGAUGGAAACGGCAUCUCCCGAUAAAGAAAAACAAGGCUUUUUUGCCGUAGUUUUUGUUAAUCGGGAAUACAGUGGACAGCUGGAGAACUG
rnacentral:sRNA from 1 species